UACGUAGGAGGCAAGCGUUGUCCGGAAUUACUGGGCGUAAAGCGCGUGUAGGUGGUGGGACAAGUCUGCUGUGAAAGCGCCUGGCUUAACCGGGCGAGGUCGGCGGAAACUGUCCGACUAGAGGACGGUAGAGGGGGGUGGAAUUCCCGGUGUAGUGGUGAAAUGCGUAGAGAUCGGGAGGAACACCUGUGGCGAAGGCGGCCUGCUGGGCAGUAGCUGACGCUGAUGCGCGACAGCGUGGGGAGCAAACAGG
rnacentral:rRNA from 1 species